GACAGAGGCCUCGAGCGUUAGGCGGAAUCACUGGGCUUAAAGCGUGUGUAGGCGGAUCGUUAAGUACCUUGUGAAAUCCCACGGCUCAACCGUGGAACUGCUUGGCAUACUGGCGGUCUUGAGCAACCUAGGGGCGAGCGGAACAAAUGGUGGAGCGGUGAAAUGCGUAGAUAUCAUUUGGAACGCCAAUGGUGAAAACAGCUCGCUGGGGGUUUGCUGACGCUGAGACACGAAAGCCAGGGGAGCAAACGGG
rnacentral:rRNA from 1 species